UACGUAGGGUGCAAGCGUUAAUCGGAAUUACUGGGCGUAAAGCGUGCGCAGGCGGCUUUGUAAGUCUGAUGUGAAAUCCCCGGGCUCAACCUGGGAAUUGCAUUGGAGACUGCAAGGCUAGAAUCUGGCAGAGGGGGGUAGAAUUCCACGUGUAGCAGUGAAAUGCGUAGAUAUGUGGAGGAACACCGAUGGCGAAGGCAGCCCCCUGGGUCAAGAUUGACGCUCAUGCACGAAAGGCGUGGG
rnacentral:rRNA from 1 species